CACGCCGUAAACGAUGAAUGCCAGUCGUCGGUGCGCAUGCGUAUCGGUGACACACCUAACGGAUUAAGCAUUCCGCCUGGGGAGUACGGUCGCAAGAUUAAAACUCAAAGGAAGUGACGGGGGCCCGCACAAGCGGUGGAGCAUGUGGUUUAAUUCGAAGCAACGCGCAGAACCUUACCAACCCUUGACAUCGGGAUCGCGGAUUUCAGAGAUGAUUUCCUUCAGUUCGGCUGGAGCCCAGACAGGUGC
rnacentral:rRNA from 1 species